UACGUAGGGUGCAAGCGUUAAUCGGAAUUACUGGGCGUAAAGCGUGCGCAGGCGGUUUUGUAAGUCAGAUGUGAAAUCCCCGGGCUUAACCUGGGAACUGCGUUUGAAACUACAAGGCUAGAGUGUGGCAGAGGGGGGUGGAAUUCCACGUGUAGCAGUGAAAUGCGUAGAGAUGUGGAGGAACACCGAUGGCGAAGGCAGCCCCUGGGUUAACACUGACGCUCAGGCACGAAAGCGUGGGGAGCAAACAGGG
rnacentral:rRNA from 1 species